ACAGGAGCUAGCUAGGUACUCCACCACUCAAGUGCUCCCGUUCUUCUUCCUCCUGUCCACGCCCGGCGCCCCUGCCUCGACGACACCGGCCGUGCUGGACGGUUCUCCAUCGCAUCCCUCGUUUCCUGUUGCGAACUACAGCACGCGCGCCACCGCUCUCCACUGGCCGGAUCCAUACACACAAUGGAGCCAGCGGACGAAGUGGAGAUUUGGGAGGCCAUCUUAGCGGAUCCGCUUGAUUGGCCUCCAUCUUCUGUUACUAUUCCUCGUCCAAGCCAGGUGGAAGAAUACUUCAGUUAUGUGUAUGGCGAUGAUGACAUGGAAAUCAACAAAUUUGCACAAGAGCCCGAAGAUGGGCAGUGCCACCAGCAAUAUUUGGGAGAAUUCAUAUUAAACAAAAGUGGGAGGCAUGGCCCACAAGUUCCUCGCAAGAGGAGGAUAUCUGCUUCGGGAAGUGGAGGCAAGAAAUUGCACGGUCGAAAAAACAAUGAACACUGGACACGUGAAGAAGUGAAGAAGCUGAUAUUAGGAGAUAUGGUGAAGGGCGAUGGACUAAGGUGAAGCGUCAUUACUUCUCAUCAUCAGUUCGAGAGCCAACACAUCUCAAGGAUAAGUGGAGAAAUGUCCGGAGAGCUUGUGGAGUCCCGUGCGGCUCCAAAAGGAAGGAGAAGGCACAGAAGACUAUGUUCCGGCCCCUAGAUUCAAAGUCGGUCAAAGAGAUCCGAAGGUUAGCAAAGAAACACAAUGUGAAAUGAACAACUAGCUGCAAAUGACAACCAAAUGCUAGUUGAGGCUUUGUACGUUUUAUGUAAGUAAAUCAACAUCUAAUGUUGUUUCUUUCAGAACUGGGAAGCAUGUAAAUAUAUUAUGUAAGAAUCACGUAGCAAGCCUGGGCUAUUUCGGUGUGUAUAUAUCGUAGAUA